UACGUAGGGUGCAAGCGUUGUCCGGAAUUAUUGGGCGUAAAGAGCUCGUAGGCGGUCAGUCGCGUCUGCUGUGAAAACUCGGGGCUUAACUCCGGGCCUGCAGUGGGUACGGGCUGACUAGAGUGCGGUAGGGGAGACUGGAAUUCCUGGUGUAGCGGUGAAAUGCGCAGAUAUCAGGAGGAACACCGGUGGCGAAGGCGGGUCUCUGGGCCGUAACUGACGCUGAGGAGCGAAAGCGUGGGUAGCAAACAGG
rnacentral:rRNA from 1 species